rnacentral:lncRNA from 1 species
GCAGAUCUGAUCUGGUUCAGUGUCGGCUUCUCCGCCAAUGGGCUCUGAGCUCUUUGAGGCCUCACUAAUCAAUCCUACUCACCUCUGGACCCAGUGCAGGGGCUGGCACGUGGACAGUCAGAAGUUCACAUUGCCUCGAAUUGAAGGUCUGGUGAUUCACAGGAGAUAAGAUGUCAUUUGUGAAAUUUGAAAAGAUUAUCUCCUUUUUUGCGGGCCUCAACACAGAAAUAUACCAGUGCUAUGAAUAGAGAUUUCAAUUACUUUAUUUGUUUUUUUUUUUUAAAAACCCUUUUAAUAAUGGAAGAAAACCCACCAAUGAGUUGUGUGGAUGUCUGUAAUUUUUUUUUUCCUUCAAGAAUUUGUUUUCUGCCUCAUUAAUAGAAACUCUCCCACACAUUGCAAGAACCUUUCCUCCCCUUUGCUGGGAAGGACGGUCAAGAAAUGACUUGUGUUUUAUUUUUUUCAUGGGCUUGGGAUAGAUAAUUGCUUAAAGAUGAAUUUUGGACUGCUGAUAAUCCAAUUAGGGUCUUGGGCAUAAUUGUUUCUAUGUAACCUGAUGCCUUUUAUCCUCCAUGCUUCUAACUUCCGAGGCCGGUUCUCUUGGCAACAGCACAUCUUCCUGUGUGAGACAGUGGCACAGCCACUGGGAGGUGGGCUCUGCUCAGCAGAACUGGGCUCCGUGGUCUCGCCUAGCCAGAUGGGAUUCUGGAAAACAAAAUGUGUGUUAGCACCAGAUGGAUGGAUGUCACUCAGUGCUGACCAGAUGGUACAAACGGCUGAACUUCUCAGAAGCACUAUUAACUGUAGGAGUGGUUUGCUUUUGCCUUAAGAUAUAUAAUUUGAAAAAUAUAUAUUGGUCAUUAUUAAGGAAACUAAAGAGCAACCGGCGAGGAGGCCAAAGUGGGUAUUCCGGAGAUGAUGCGGUCCUUCAUCCUGACAGGUGUGGAGUCUGAUUUCCUGACCUAUGAUUGCCAGUUGAAAUGAUAUAGACUUUGAUGUCGGGCAGGAUUGGAUUAAUAUCCCAAGUCCUAACCUCUCACAGCUGGCUGGGUCAUCUUGGACAAAACAGGGUAACUUCCUUGGGCCCCAGUCUCCUUGCCUGUAAAAUUGGGGAUUGUGGUUCCUUUGCAGAGUUGGGGUUAAGAGGGAAUGAGUUGACACAGGCACAGCACCUAUCCUGGUUUCUAGAAUAGAGGAAAUGCUCCGACUAUGAUGACCUAUUAUAAUGAUUAUUACUUCGAAGAAAGAACAGAGGGCUCCUAGUCAGAAAGCCCUGGAGGCCAAUGUCAAGGGCUGUACAUCAACUCCUCUUCUGUUUUAAUACUGAAUUAACAACCAGGCAGGGGGAAAAAUGGAACAUUUAAAUAUUUAAACCAAACAUUUAAUUUUUAAACAUGAACAUUCUUUUUAUAAGUUGGACUGCUCUUCAAGGCCUGUUGAAAAUUCCCUGAGCCUCUGCUAUCUGCCCUCCUUUGGGACGUGUGCUAGAGAACACUGCUAACCUUGGAUGCCUCUGAACUUGGCAGGGGACGGUACAUUUGUUUUAUUCAGAAGAAGGCACAUUUGUGUCCUAAUAAAGAUAUUACUGACAAGUUUCUGUAAAGAAAG